GUUUGAUCCUGGCUCAGGACGAACGCUGGCGGCGUGCCUAAUACAUGCAAGUCGAGCGGACUGAGUAAGAGCUUGCUCUUAUGACGUUAGCGGCGGACGGGUGAGUAACACGUGGGCAACCUGCCCUGUAGAUCGGGAUAACACCGAGAAAUCGGUGCUAAUACCGGGUAACAUCUGAGAUCACAUGAUCUUAGGUUAAAAGAUGGCUCCGGCUAUCACUGCAGGAUGGGCCCGCGGCGCAUUAGCUAGUUGGUAAGGUAACGGCUUACCAAGGCGACGAUGCGUAGCCGACCUGAGAGGGUGAUCGGCCACACUGGGACUGAGACACGGCCCAGACUCCUACGGGAGGCAGCAGUAGGGAAUCUUCCGCAAUGGACGAAAGUCUGACGGAGCAACGCCGCGUGAGUGAUGAAGGGUUUCGGCUCGUAAAGCUCUGUUGUUAGGGAAGAACAAGUACCGUUCGAAUAGGGCGGUACCUUGACGGUACCUAACCAGAAAGCCACGGCUAACUACGUGCCAGCAGCCGCGGUAAUACGUAGGUGGCAAGCGUUGUCCGGAAUUAUUGGGCGUAAAGCGCGCGCAGGCGGUCUUUUAAGUCUGAUGUGAAAGCCCCCGGCUCAACCGGGGAGGGUCAUUGGAAACUGGGAGACUUGAGUACAGAAGAGGAGAGUGGAAUUCCACGUGUAGCGGUGAAAUGCGUAGUA
rnacentral:rRNA from 1 species